rnacentral:rRNA from 1 species
UACGUAGGGGGCUAGCGUUGUCCGGAAUCAUUGGGCGUAAAGCGCGUGUAGGCGGUUCGGUAAGUCCGCUGUGAAAGUCGGGGGCUCAACCCUCGAAUGCCGGUGGAUACUGUCGGGCUAGAGUGCGGAAGAGGCGAGUGGAAUUCCUGGUGUAGCGGUGAAAUGCGCAGAUAUCAGGAGGAACACCUAUUGCGAAGGCAGCUCGCUGGGGACGUUACUGACGCUGAGACGCGAAAGCGUGGGGGAGCAAACAGG